UACGAAGGGGGCUAGCGUUGUUCGGAAUCACUGGGCGUAAAGCGCACGCAGGCGGAUCGAUAAGUCGGGGGUGAAAGCCCGGGGCUUAACCACGGAAGUGCCUUCGAUACUGUCGGUCUCGAAUCCGGGAGAGGUGAGCGGAAUUCCUAGUGUAGAGGUGAAAUUCAUAGAUAUUAGGAAGAACACCAGUGGCGAAGGCGGCUCGCUGGCCCGGUACUGACGCUCAGGUGCGAAAGCGUGGGGAGCAAACAGG
rnacentral:rRNA from 1 species